rnacentral:rRNA from 1 species
GAUUAACGCUGGCGGCGUGCCUAACACAUGCAAGUCGAACGAGGUAGCAAUACCUAGUGGCAGACGGGUGAGUAACGCGUGGUCAACCUACCGUUGAGUGGGGGAUAACUAGCCGAAAGGUUAGCUAAUACCGCAUACGCCUCCGAGUGGCAUCACUUGGCGAUAAAAGGAAGCAAUCCGCUCGAUGACGGGACCGCGUCCCAUUAGCUAGAUGGUGGGGUAACGGCCUACCAUGGCACCGAUGGGUAGCUGGUUUGAGAGAGCGACCAGCCACACUGGGACUGAGAAACGGCCCAGACUCCUACGGGAGGCAGCAGUGAGGAAUUUUCCGCAAUAGGCGCAAGCCUGACGGAGCGACGCCGCGUGUGGGAAGAAGGCCUUCGGUCGUAACC